rnacentral:lncRNA from 1 species
GUUAAAAUAAUUGAAUGCUGUGAUAGCAUACAUACUGGCAUGACUUUUUGAGCAGCCAUUCAUAACCUAUUUGUCACAAAGCAUAAUUUCAUGAUAGAACUCUGAUUCACAUGCGGUUUUAUUUUUCCAGCAAUAAAACAUUUGAAUAACUCCUUCACGAAGGCUGGCUACAUUUUCACAAUAUCCAAUCCCAAACUAGAGCUUCAGGAAAAGGGAUCCAGGAAAUGAUUAUUCCACCAAGUAAAAUUUUGCUGAGAGUAUAUGUCCAGAAUGGGCAUUGAACUUUGUCAAGUGGUUUUUCUGUAUCAACUGAUAUCAUCAUGUGGUUUUCCUUUUUUGAGAUCAGUCCAUCCAAGACAGAAGAUGAGAAUGAGAGUCUUGAUAGAAUUAAAAAGAAAAAGUCCCAUGUUGCUUUUGCUAUCUUCCACAGCUGUGAACUGUUGCUCCUCUGCCAUCCUGCCUUGGAGUAAGCAAACUAUGAACUAAAACUUCUACUAAAUGAUUUAAACAAGGAAGAUAAAAAUGUGCACUGCAUUCACAAUAUGAAAAAUCACGAGUGAGGACAAGAGCUGCCCGCAGCACAGAGGGGGUGAAACUUCUGGCCCACUGAACCACCACCCCCAGCUCCCAGGAGGAGACUUCCCCCAGCACAGAGGAGGUGAACUUUCUGGGCUGCCAUGCCACUGCCUCCAGUGCUGAGGAGGUGAACCGCACUGGCGCAAGCAGCACACAACCCUCCCCCAGCCCCACCCCGCCCCAUUGAAAUGAGAAACCGCUUAAACAAGUCUCAAAAUCAGACUCCCAGAUCACCAAAAGCAACCUCAAAAGGAAAUGAGAUGGAACAAUCUGAUACACAACCACCUAGACUCCCUGAACUGGCUACAAAAGAGGAUCUGGAAAAAAUGAAAUCAGAAAUAAUUUCUCAGAUAACAGCAGAGGUUAUGCGCAUAGUGCAAGACAUGAUUAACAAAUCUAGAGAGGAGCUCAGGAACAUGAUGGAAUCCUAACAUAGGAAACAAAUGGAAUCCAUAAAAUAGAUGCAAACAGAUUUCCAGGAGAUGAAAAUCUCCACUGAAAGUUUAUGGAGCAGAAUGAGCCAAUGUGAGGACAGAAUUUCAGAUAUAGAAGAUAAGAUUGCAAUUAGUGACCAGGAAAAGAAAAAUUCCUUUAAAAUUGUAAGGGAGCAUGAGAAAUCAAUCCAGCAGCUGCUAGACAAUGCAAAGAAGAAUAACAUAAGACUUAUUGGAGUCAAUGAAGAAACAGGAGAGAGUGCAGAUGACACAAAAAACUGUUCACAGAAGUGAUGGCAGAAAACUUCCCAAGCAGGGGAAAAGAACUUGACAUACAGAUAAGUGAGGCAUAUAGAACUCCAACUAGCUUUGAUUAAAUAUUGAUCUUCUGGAUAAAUCUGUAAGUUUUGUCCAGUCCAUAGACCUUUUCCUCUACAAAAUACAAUGGAAAAUCUGUGAUAGAAAUAUAUUAUCCAAUAAGCUUUGAUUUGGAGUCAACCCUCCCAUGAUAAUAUUUCAAUAAGAAAAAGUAAAUAAGAUAAAUCAUAUAAGAGGAAGAGGUGACAUUUCAUAUCAUUAUUUGCAGGCACCAGGUUUUCAGGUAGAUACUUCUCAGUCUCUUUCUCAUUUAAUAAUUUAAUGAAAGAAGAUCUUUUUUUUAGGAAGGUAAACUCAGUGUGAUAGUCAAGAUCCCAGAUAAUAAGUUAAGGCUAUUAUUUCUCAUAUCCUGUUGAAAUAUAAUGCAGAUGGUAUGGAAACCAGAGUCAAGGAAUCAAAAGAAUAUUCAAAUGUAGGGACAUCAAUAUUUUAAGUCUUAAUGACAGAGCAUAUGUUCUUUGCUCCUCUUCCUUUGUAUAGUCAACAUGAAAUAAUAGUCAUGGAGAAGGUAGGUUUCCCAUCUCUACUAAGGUGCUCAAUUUAUUUUGUUGUUUGUAUUUAUUUUUGAGAGGUGCUGCCUGAAUGGGGAUUUUGUUCAAUAUCAUAGGAACUUAUUUGUUGUAUAGUAUUUCACAGAAUAAAAAGCUCUUAGAGUGAAAAAAAAAAAGAAUUUAAGGAAAAAAGAGAGUGAGAGAGAUUGAAGAUGAUAUCAGAAAAUGGAAAGACAUCCCUUGGUCUUGGGUAGAAAGAAUCAACACAGUGAAAAUGGCCAUACUUCCAAAAUUGCUAUAUAGAUUCAAUGCAAUCCCAAUUGAAAUCCCAGAAGCAUACUUCAUGGACCUUGAGAAAACAAUCCAAAAAUUCAUUUGGAACAAGAAGAGACCUAGAAUAGCAAAAGCAAUUGUAGGCAACAGGGAUAUGGCAGGAGGUAUCACAACUCCCAACUUGAAACUAUACUACAAAGCUACUGUGAUAAAACAGCAUGGUACUGGCAAAGAAACAGACCUGAGGACUGGUGGAACAGAUUAGAAGAUGCAGAAACAGUUCCAGAUACACUCAGCCACCUCAUCUUAGACAAAGGAACCAAACACCCUCACUGGAGGAAAGAUAGCCUCUUUAAUAAAUGGUGCUGGGAAAAUUGGGUUUCAACUUACCAAAGAUUAAAACUAGACCUAUAUCUCUCACCAUGCACUAAACUAAAAUUGAAAUGGAUUAAAGAUCUAAAUAUUAAAACAGAACUGGCUGGAACAGAACUCUUGAAGGUAGAACUCUUGAAAACAUUGGUGUAGGAAAAGAUUUUAUGAACAAAACCUCAGUUGCCCGUGAACUAGCACAGACAAUCAACAAGUAGGAUCUACUCUUAUCAAAAAUCUUCUUUACAGUAAGAGAAACCACCAACAGUGUGAAGAGACAACCCACAAUGUGGGAAAAAUUUUUCACCUACAGUUCCUCAGACAGAGGUCUACUAUCUAGAAUCUAUAAAAAACUUUUAAAAAAUCAGACCUCCCAAAUUCAAAGACCCAGUCCAAAAAUGGACAUCUGAAAUGAACAGACAUUUCUCAGGCAAAGAAGUAGAAAUAGCAAAUAAACAUAUGAAAAAAUGUUUAACAUCACUGGUCAUUCGAGAGAUGCAAAUGAAAACAAAGCUGAGAUUCUACCUCACCCCAGAAGGAAUGGUUAUCAUGAAAUCAACCAAUAACAAAUGCUGGCGGAGCUGUGGGGAAAGAGGAGCCCUGCUCCACGGCUGGUGGGAGUGUAGACUGGUGUAACCACUGUGGAUAUCAGUAUGGAGAUACCUCAAAGGACUAGGACUGGAAGUCCCAUUUGACCCCACUAUUCCCCUGCUGGGGAUCUUCCCCAAAGAAUUAAAAGAAUCAUACCACAGUGAUAUAUGUGCACCCAUGUUCAUAGCAGCACAAUUUGUAAUAGCUGAAACUUGGAAGCAGCCCAUUUGCCCAUCAACUGGAGACUGGAUAAAGAAAAUGUUGUUUUUUUAUAAAAUGGAGUACUACUCAGCCAUAAAAAAUGAGAAAUUAGAGAGAUUUAUUGCUAAAUGGAUGUACAUUGAAGUGAUACUCUUAAGUGAAAUAAAUAGGACACACAUGUGUAAAUACCGAAUAGUUUCUCUAGUGUGAGAAACUGAAAAUGUGGGUAAGAACUAAAAGGUAUAAUAGAUAAUGUGAAAUAGGAAGAAAAGGGACAAGGGGGAAGGGGAAAUUGGAAGGGUAGGGGAUAGGGAAGAAGGAAAUGGAAUUAAUAUGAGAAAUUGAAGAAAAGGAAACAAAGUCUUUGUAAAUAGGGAGGGAUGGAGGGGUUGAAGGGAGGGCAGAGGGAUGGGGAAAAAAUAACCAAGAGAGAUUAUGUAAAGGUACAAAUUUCCAAUGAUGAAUGUCAUUAUAUUGUAUACCUAAAAUGUAUGAAUAAAAUUAAUUUUAAAAAAGAAUUAGAAAGAAAAAGGUAGCAGGAGAAAGAAACAGAAUAAAUUAAUAGUAUGAGACAUUCUUGCUGGACUGGUUAUUUAUAAUGUGAUUUUCCGAGAGAAUGACAGCCAGCUGAAUGAGAGAAAAUAUAAAAUCACUAAAUUUAAACACUGGUAUUGGAAAAUUGGAGACAAAAUGUAAACAAGCAUUUUGCCUAUUUCAUGUUUAUCACAUAAUCACAGCACUACCAUAUUUGGAGUAAAUAGCCUAAUAUUUGAUACAAACGUGACUGAUAUUUAUUAUAAUGUUUCGGAUAUGUAUAUUCAUAAAGCAAGAUUUUUAUCUGCUUGUCUUAUCCAAAAAUGAAUCUGAUGGAUGGUUUCCAAGCUGUAAUUUGGGUUUAUAAGAACGUAAAUACCACAUUAUAAUUGCGUUCCCAGUAGCCUUUAAGCUCAUGGAGAUUAGGCAUGGCUGAUGCCAGGCAACCUCAGGAGCCCUGGAGACAGAACUGCUCACUCCACAUUCCCAUGGGCCUCCCAUUCCUGAGAGUAUAUUUCAAGAUGUGUUUCUGUGAGGCUCAGAGACUUUACAGUUUUCUAGGGCCUUCCUCGAAGGCACCGUGCUUAUGCCUAAUGGAGGUUAAUGAUGUAACUGGUGAGAAUAUGAGGUUUCAACAGGAGCCCCAAGGAGAGACACCUUAUGCCCAACAUAUCUGUGCACCAAAAGCCUUCUCAAGGUAAGUGGUCCACUGGCCAUGAAGCAUGAGGGAUGAAUAGCUACUUCUCAGGGGAACAGAAGGUCAGGAAAAGGAGCAGUAGUCCAAGCAAAGGUGACUUGAAUGGCUAGGCAGGAGUUUAGUGAGGGUGAUAGGGCAUGUCCAGAAGAACUGGACAGAGAGAGCCAGAUGGAAAAAGUGAAAACUAGGGCUAGAGCUAGGGAGUAACCCUAACAUGAAGGGCCUAUGCAGAAGGUUAGAUUUUAUCUCAAGGAUGUUAUGCACUGAAUUGUAUCCCCUCAAACUCAUAUAUUGAAAGCUUAAUAGUUUAGUACUUCAGAAUGUGGCUGUAUUUAGAAAUAGUGUCCUUAAAGAGGUAAUUAAAAUGAGAUCAUUACUGUGGGACCUAACUCAAUGUGACUGAGGUCUAUAGAAGAAGAGAUGAGGAGGCAGAUACACAGAAGGGAGAAGUUGGCUACAACUACACAGCAAGGAGAUAGUCCUCAGAAGAAACUGGCAUGUUCAGUUCUGGCCUCCAGAACUGUGAGAAAAUAAAUUUCUGUGGUUCAAGUAAUCUAUAGUAUGUUAUUAUGGGAGCCCUAGGAAACUUCUGAGAAAGGAUCAGGCAAGGAGAGGAUAGUUAACUUUAUCUCAUUGAAAAUUCCCUCUGGCCUAUGAGCAAAAUGAAUUGAGGGAGAUAAGUCUGGAGACAACAGGUUCUGAAGCCACUGUAGUACCAUGAGUAUAACCAAGGAUUGCAGCUACCAUGGAAUUGGGGCAGACUGAGUGCAGCAAGCUGUGGGAGGUGCCUUCUAAACAGAUAACAUAUACUGUGUGUCUAUAGGUUGUACAAUACAUACUGUGUAACUGCAAGCCUUCAUGAUAGCACCCAGAAUAAGAGAUAAGUAAAGGAAUCAAAAGAAAGUCAUAGACUGGAGAGAUAUUUAGAGAAUACUCAAUUGUAUUUGAAGCCUGGUUGGAUGCUACCAGUGAGGAAGAGGAAGGACCAAAGGAUGAAGCUGUGUGCAGCCCUGGGCAGCUAGAGAGGUGAGGCACUUGGUGACUAAGAAACCAAGGAGGAAGAACUGGAUUGGAGAGGACUGUUUGUUUUGGCUACAGGUUUGAGGAACCAAAUGAAGAUAUCAAGUGAACAUUUUCAAUAAGAAGUUGGGUAUAUGAAGAUAUGGAUUUUCGUAUACUUCAUGAUUUAGAGGACUCUCUAUUUUAACCCAGGGGGGUUGAUAAGAACAGAAGGAAUAGUGUGUAAAACAAGAAAACAGCAUACAAGAAAUAAGCCCUCCUGAUAUCAAACUUCUAAGUUAGAGGCUCAGUAUGGGACUAUAGAGUGCAUGAGAAAACAGUUUUGCCAUUCCCUUCCCCUAUUCUACUCAGCCACUGCUUCUAAGUCCAGAUAACUCUUCAUAUCCAGCUCUAUGAGACUUGGGGAUCCCUGAAUGCUGAGAAAGUGUGAGCAUGGAGUGAUCUCAUUCACCCAGAAUCCACUAGGUACCUAUCAUAGGUAGUAUGUUGGUCAAUAAAAACAGUGAUGUUGCUUCCCAUUUUCAGAACAGUAAGAUGCUUAUAUUGUUGUAUUCCAUCAAUAGUUCUAGCAGCAGCAAGGAAGAGCAAGAUUAAAUUUUUGCCAGUAUCCCAGGGGAAAUCAGAAGAUCUCCUCUCAACAAUUUCCUAUACCUGUCUUGGUGAAAGAAUUUAAUUACCUCAGAUUCAGAAGGAAAGCAUAAUUCUGCAAAGUUCACUUUAGAUCUUCACUGGUCCUAUGCCUCUAGAAUGCCUUUUAUUUUUGUAUAUCAGGAAUCUUUCAAGUUAUAUUUUCUUCCCUCUCUCAGGGUUCUAAAUGUCAAAGAAAAAUAUUUUUUGAGUUUUGAAGGGCUCUUUCUAACACAAUUCUCUGACUCCUUAAGCAGGAUAUAAUGAGCAAAAUCCAUCUGUCAUUUACUUCCUGAAUUAGGUCACUAUUAUAAGUAUCAGUUAUUGAACAGAGUCAACACAUGGUGAUGUCUCAUUGACCAGAGCUUAAAAUAGCUGUGGAUCAAUACUCCCUCAGUUUGUCUUUUUUUUUUUUUUUUGACACUAACCAUUCUGAUAAGAAUCAUCCUUCAUAUAAAGGCUAGAAUGUAAGAUUUACAAGCAUGGGAGACUCUGGAAUAUCUACAAUGUGUAUAAAAUAAGAGAAAAUUGGGCUGGGGAUUUAGCUCAGUAGUUCCACCACCUGCCUUGCAAGUGCAAGGUCCUGAGUUCAAUCCCAGUACAAAAAAAAAGAAAGAGAGAGAGAGAGAAAAUGAACUCUUUGUUGAGGUCUUUGCAUGAAACUUUGGGCAUAGCUACAGAAAAUCUAUUUAGAUCUACAGAGAUCCUGUCAUGUAUUUUUGCCUUCUCCUGAAUUCAUAGCUGAAGUUGCAAGUUGGAAAAAGUAAACACAAAGUCAUUCUCUUCCUCCUUUAUUGUCACAUGUGAUCAAAUGUUCACCAUAAUGUAGCUGAAGGUGGUCCUUUGCAACUCAUAGUCCUGUGCUUGUUAUUUAUCUGAGUUGGAGUUCAGACAAUGGUAGUUAUCAUUCACUCUCCAAUUAUCUUGUCCCAUCCCUUAUAGUUAGUGGGAGACAUGGUUUUAGAAUUACGCUUUUAAGAAAGACAAUCUGAGGCAGGAAAUGUGUUCAUGGGAACCACAGCUAAAUCCUUGGCUUGUGCAUUCCUGCGGAGACUCCUUGGGGUCACCAGAAAGCAAUGAAUAGAACACAGGAAAGAAGGUUUAAUUUUUUCUUGAGCUCAAAGUACUAUAAUUUGCUAUAGAUGUAGAUGGAACCCCAUUACCAACCCCAGUCUGGAGAUAGUUAAGCAACACCUUCUAACUAAAGAUAUAUUCAAAUCCUUCUGGGAACCUGGAAUCAGAUUAUCUUGACAGUCUAAAAGAAUUCUUUAAACAUGAAAAUCACCAUUUAUGUUGAUGUUUGACUUAUGAUGGCAGUUUGUUCAGUUUAGUAAUUCCAUCAAGAAUGAAAACUUCUUAUGUAAUAUAUUAUAGGAAAGCAAGAAGGUUUACUCUUUUGGCAGGUAAAAAGAAGAAAGUAUCCAGCCAUGAUCAAGAAGCCAACAAUCCUGGAAAGAGCUGUAAAAUCCAAUUUGAAAGCAGUGAGAAGUCCAGAAUGAAUCAUCUAAACAUGUUAUUGUGAAAGAAUGGUGACGUGGAAGGACAGAGUAGACUCAAAUGGGAGAAAAAAGUUAAGGUAGUUUCUCCUAACUCUAGGUCAUUUGAUUCUAAUGCAUUCCAAGGGAUAUUCCAAGUUCUUUUAUUUUUUUUUACCCUUCUUCAACAUAAUUUUAGUUGAAAUGAGAAAGCAACUAGAAAGGCUUUGUUUAUAAAGAUGUGACAAAAUUCUAUCCAGUCUAGAGAGAGAAAAGAGAAAUUCCACAAGUGGAAAUUCUAGGAAACCUACUCUACAUAGAUGUUUGUGUCAUCACUCAACAUUCACCUGCCUUUGUUUUUUAAUCAUAUUUUCACAUGGAUAAGCUACCUAAAACACAGCCAGGUAUCUUUAUUAGGUGUAGUGAGAUUUUAUGUCCAGUACUUAUAAAUCAGGUAGGGGAGGGCAGAGCUGACCGUUCAAAGUCCAUUCUCUUGCAAUGCCUCAAGCAGUGUUUCUCAACUAUCAUCUACAUAAAGAUCUCCCAGAAUAUGUGAAAAUUCAGAUUCUGAUUCAGAAGGUCUAUGGUAGGGCCUGAGAUUUCACAUUUCCAUAUGACACUGAAGCUGCUGGUCCAAGUUACCCUUUUCAGUAAGUUGACUGUUCCUGUCAUGUCCUGUAGAUGGAGAAAAAUCCCAUUGCCAUUUCUCAUUUAGAGCUGUAAGAGAAGCCCAUCAUCCACAGAAGCAAUGAGUCUUCUUUGUAGUGCAUGGGUUUAAUUCUAGGCUCCUUGCAUUUGAUAUAUGAGCCUUAUAUAUGAUCACCAAUAUUUAAUAAAGAAAGAUGGGAAUAUACUUACAUAAUCCCCAUUAUUUGUCACAAAAUGAUAUGUUGAAAAAUACUGAAUUUGCUUAGAAGUCUUCAGUUACUGGCAAAUUAUCCAUAUUAAGCUUCUCAUUUCAAAUAUGCUUUACCAAAAAACUUGAAAAUUGUAUCCCAUCAUUUCAUAGAAAAGAGAGCAUUCAGUUGGGAUUCAGAAGACUUGAAACCAGUUCCCAGCUCUGCUAUUCACUCAUUAAGGACUUUGAGAAGCAUAUUCUACCUUUCUGAGGUCCAGAUGGAGUAUGAACAGAAUUGAUUAGAUACCUCUCUGAGAAUCUUUUUAGUUUUCAUGUUCCAUCCAAUACAGAAUAUACGGAAACAUAGCUUCUCACCAAUUAUUUGGAAGUUGCCUCAUUAGGGGUUGGGAUUAGUUGGAUACCAGCAGUAUCCAUGGCUUCACAUCGAUGGGAACAGAGAGGCGAAUGUGUAGUGGAUGCAGACUGUUGCUUUGAAGUCAGAGAGAGGUGGGUUCAAAUCCUGAGUCCUUGUGUCAUAUGAGUUACAUGGUAUUACAAAAAUGACUUUCUGUGUCUGAGUUUCAGUGAUACCAUCUGUAAAAUCUGAUCUAUAAAAUGUGUAAGAAAACAGAAUGGCUUCAUUGGAAUAUUACCAGUUGAGUAAUCAACUCUUCUGGGUUGCCUGAAACUGAGAAGUUUCCCAGAAGGUGGGACUUUCAAAAGCAGGAUAGUCCUAGGCAAGCUGAGAUGGCUAUCUACCCUAAAUUUACAAGUGCCACCUAAGUUAAGCCUGUAAAUCACUUCAAUAUGUAUUAGACAUGAUUACUAAGAAUAUAUAAAUAUAGGGGAGUUCAGGGUGACUUUUUAUUCAAGCAGUGUACAAUCCAAAAUUGUCUUGCCAAAUCCUGAUACUUUAAAGAGUAUAUGGUUUUCCUUCCUGAAUAAAAGGACUGUAAAUGUGACAUAUCAAGCAGUACAAAAUGGCUACCCUUUUGCAACAUAACAUCUUGAAUCAAAAGAUGAUGUCGUCUCUCAGUGACUGGCCUGCAUUAAGGGAUUCUGAUGCAGCUACAGGCUGAUAAUGGUGGUGUUCAACAAUCCUAUUGGAUGAGGCUCCAGUCAGGAAUGUGAGCAGCUGUCCUUUCUAAACCCCAUGUCACAUGCUGAGGCUAUGCCAACAUCCUUCUUUUCCAUCAAAACAUUCCAGAUCUCAUCCUUGUCAGGUCGUAUACAGAUAUGUCUCCUAGGAUUAGCAUAAACCCUGUCUCUUGCUAUUGUCUCAGGAAUUUGGAGAUUAUCUUUCUAGAAUGUCUCAUGUAUGCAAUUCUGCACAGAAAACUGAAGAAAACUUAGGAAUCAAAUUCUCUUCAUAUGGAUUCCACUAGACUAUAACCAGUUUUGCUUUGAGAGCUUUCUUCUUCUCUUCCUUUCUAAUCUCUGCCCACUUGAACUAUCCAGGCAUACGGUCUCUGAUGGAUCAAUCACUAUUAACCACCUCCCUCCCAACUCUGCCUUCUAUGAUUCUAAAACCUUAGUAAAUGUCAGCAAUUAGAGAACCUAAAAAUGGAGGUAGACAAGAUGCCUCUGAGAUCUGCAAAGCCUUACAAUAACUUGGUAUUAAGUGCUGAUUGAGUGGGCCUUUGGAUGUGUACUCUGGUUCAUUAGGGAGGCAGGUGAAGACUAGAGUGUGUCUGGGGAAAGUGUAGAUACAUACAGACAUACAGGUUGUGAAGUCUGUUAGCAGGAAGGAAACAUCCUAGGACUCAGAAAGUUUUCCUGUGUAUGUUCUCCAUCAUUCUGAAGACCCAGAAGCUCUAAAUUGGUCCAAUGCUCAUUCUAGAUUUUUGGCAGAAAGCCUGGUCCUACAGUGGAUAUGGAUGCCCCACAAAGUCAGGAAUGUUAAAGGGUUAGUCCCCAGACUGUGCCACUAUUGAAUGGUGGUAAAACAUCUAAGAGGUAGGACCUAGUGGGAGGUCUUUCAAGUCACCGAGGGUGUGCUUUUCAAAAAAUGAGACCCCAGCACCUUCUUCUUUCUCUCUUUUGUUUCCCAGCCAAGAGAUGGCAUCUUUGCCUCACCACCUACUCUCACCACAAUAUGCCACCUUGGGAAUAAAGUGAUGGGAACCAACCAAUCCUAGACUGAGACCUCUGAAACUGUGAACAAAAUAAACCUCUUCUUUUUAUGUUGAUUAUCUCAUUAUUUUUUACAGUAGGAAAAAGCUAACUAACAUAGCAUCUGAAAAGUAUUGUCAAUAUGUCUGAACUUCUUACCAACAUUAAUAGUAGAUUCUGGGGUGCUCUAAUACUUUGGGGCAUGUGGCACCAUGUAUAAAAUUCAAAGACAAGCAUCCUUUCUUUUGGGAUGAAAAUUAAAAUUCUAAAAGUUUAGAUAAAAUUCCUGAAUCAAGACAAAACUAGAUCAGAGAACCAUGUUCUUUUUCUCAUAUUUCAAGAGAGAAAAACAGAUAAUGCUGUGUGGCAGGAGUUCUUGUUUCACUGACCUAGAGGAAAACUCAGAUCUUGAUUCAGAAGAGAAAGGGUAGCACUACUAAGAGAUCUGUGGUUUGGUUACUUGUGUAGUCAGGCAUACCCUUGAUAAUCAAAAUAUGAACUUGGGAAGCCUAUUUUCUUACUCCAUAAAAACACCAGAUAAAACGUCAAGGAUUAAGAUUGAACCUCAGUGAAAAUUUGUAUGCUCUCUUUUUAUCUUAAUAAUAAAAAAGGAGAUUUCUCAUAUCUGGGACACAUCUAAAUUUUGUUAGAUUUGGAAUUAGUUUGAAUCUAGUCUUUACUAUCGUUUUUUCUUAAUCCAUAAAGAAUGAUUCAUUUGGCUGCUGUUUCUUAUUUCAUUGAACUUCUAACCAUCGCAUGGCACUAUUUGUAAGAAUAUCUAUCGUUUUAUACUGCCUGAGAGAUAAAGCCCCAAAUCUUCACAUUAAAGACUUUCAUAAUCUUCACCAGUUUUCUUUUCAGUCUCAGGUCUUUAUUGUCUAGAAGCACCCAAUUACCUAUUAGUUGCCACCCAGAGCCUAUAUUUUCUUCCCGCUGUCCAUUCAUUUACCCUGAAAAAUCAUCUUCUCCAUGAAGCUUUCCAAACAUGGGCACUCCAGGCAGAAUGAAUCACUUUUUUCUGCUCCCAGGACCUUCUGCCCCAAGUUCUCUGCUUCCAAUACUGGCCCAUCAUAGAUCCCACUGUACCAUUUAAGUUGUAUGCAUGACUCUCUUGCAAUGUUGGCUAUGAUAAUCAUGAGUACAGGGACUACAUCCAUUCCUUUUUAUACCUCAGGCAUUUAACAUACAGCAUGACACAUGGUAGAUGUUCAACAAAUCUAAACAGAAAAAAAAUUUAAUUAAGAAAUUCUCCAUUGUAUCUGGAAAUAUGGAGGAAGAAUUGUCCUCUAAGUAGUGGAUACUUCUUUCAUCUGUUUUAACUGUAUAAUCUUACUUAACUGGUUGUAAAAUGAAGAGUACUAUAAAUCUUGUAAGACUAAAUCUUUUCAGUUUAGGAUGGCUGGUUAAGCACAUGUUUUUGAUCCCCUUCUCCUCCCAAAGGUCCAUGGAAAAAUUAGCAAAAAAAUCUCCAUAUGAAAACAACUCAGAGGAAUUUCUGCUAAAUACAGUACAGAUGCAAGAAGUUAGAUGGAAUCCACCCAUAGUUUUAAGACAUGCAAAGCAGCCCCCACCUGAGCCAUAAACUGGAAAAGCUUCUCUCAGAGAGUUCCAUUAAAGCUCCCUGAACAAAGGUGUUGGUGAGCCAGUCUAUCCAGUGUGCUAAAAUAUUGCUGGAAUAAAUGGAAAAGUUGAGAUCAAUUGACAACUUUUAAAGCCUUGAGAAAGGUGUUAAAGGGCAAUUUGAAUGAACAAACUGCAUGAAAAAAAUUGACAAGAGGAAUUUGAAUGCAGGCUAGAUAUUUAACAAUUUUAAGUAAUUAUGGUUACUUUUCUUGCAUGUAAUAAUGGUGUGUUGGCUCUGUCACUAUGGAAAUUCCUGAGAGAAUCAACUAAAAAAGCAGGAAAGGUUUAUUUUGGCCACUGUUUCAGAGAUUUCAAUCCAUGGUUGUUUGACCCUGUUGCACACAGAACAUCAUGCCAGCACAUAUGGUGAAGAUCUGUUCACCUCAUGGUGACCAAGGAGUAAAGAGAGAGGCAGAAGAGCAGCCAGGGUCUUGAUAUAUGUAUAUUUCCUUCAAGGUCAUGCUCCCAGUGACCUAUCUUCCUUCCACUAGGCCCUACCUCCUAAAGGUUCUACCACCUCCCAGAGGUGCCAUGGGCUGACGACCACCUUCAGUGCUUCCUACUGUUCUCAGCACAAGAAAGCUGUGAUGUGCCUCAUAGAGAAAUUAUCUGCUUUAGAUAAGCUUCCUCCAGAUGUUAGUAAAUAGUGCUGUUGGCUGUGAAUUCAAUGUUAGUGAAACAAUAAUAUAAAUUAAAUAGGGGCCAAUCAGUUGACAAAAAUGUUGCAGCCAGAGGCUCUCAGGAAAUUAACCCUGUAUUUUCCCGAGGAUCGAUGAUUUAGUAUUCACUAAUUCAGGACAUAACUACCAUGAAUAAUGAAGAUUAAUGGUAUUCAUGGAUAAAAUAUAAGGCAGAAAUUUAUCACAAAAUAAUCUUGGGGACUGGAAAUAGGAAUAUAAAUGAAACCAACUGGCCAUGAGUAAAUUGUUAAAGGUAUGUGAUGAGUGCCUGACUGUCCAAUAUACUGUUCUCUCGACUUUUGUAUAUAUUUAAAAGUUCCCAUAACAAAAAGCUUUUGUUGUUAAAAGAAAGAACAGUACAGCAGAAACAUAAGUUCGGGUUUUCUACAGGCAUUAAAAAAAUCAUCUAAUGCAUUAUAUAAAGAAAUAUAAUUAUUUAGAAGUAGAAUGAAUUAAAUUUCAUGUUAAGUAUAAAUGAUCCAGUGCCAUGUAAAGUCAGUGUAUACAAAUCCGCAAAAGCAAAAGACAGUGAACCCGUGUGGGCAUUACAAAUUGUAAGGUAAUACAGAAACUUGCAUGUCAUUUUUAGAAAGUGAAAAGAAAAAGGCAAGAGACAUCUAAAUAAAAGACUAUGCUCUACCAUUCACCUGUAAUAAAGUUCAACUUCUAACGUCUGUACUUGUUUAUCCCAAUAAUAAACCUGCUUCAGGCCCCUGGGAGGCUCCACUCGCCUCUACUCCCAGCUCACUUUGUGAGUUUGUAACAGGUCAAGGCCAUGGUCUCAUGCUCUAUUAUAUCCCCUAUCUUUUCCUACUGUAAUGCUUCAACUUGCUCUCAAGCUUUCUGACUAGCUCAACAGUUAAUUUUGCCAAGCCAAAGCCUUUAGAUCACUCUAUCCUUACAUAUGUUCUAUAACAAUGUUUUCUAAGUGUUUUCUGAGCAGAUCUAGAGCUUCAGAGAGAGUCCAAGAGCCCAAAAAGUAGGGAGAGCUAAAGUGUCCAGGGUUGCCAGGGCAACACAGAACAGCUCUGCUUUUGUGUUCCAUAUUUUGGGUUUUGCAAAGGAUUUUUUAGAGAGAAAACUUGUUCAGCUUCUUAGGGAGAACAAUUGAAUAAGCUAAUCUCCCAAGAAACAUUAUGAUGGGGCAUGUAGGGGCCUGAUAUGUAUGUGUGUGUGUAUAUAUAUGUAUAUAUAUAUGUGUAUAUAUAUAUAUACACAUACAUACAUGUAUAUAUAUAUAUAUAUGUAUAUAUAUGUGUAUAUAUAUACAUAUAUAUACCUUCUAGCUGUUUCCAAAGGAUCCCAACUUCCUCCAGGUGAAUGAUUCACAUUUACUUGGCAUCUUUCAUUCUAUUUUCUUUUUUAUAAAAGGCUCUUUUUCAACCCAAAUCAAUUUUUUUCUCUGAAAUGCUCAGAAAUGGCUACAUCUUUUGCAGAGUGCUGUAUGUUAUUUUAAUCUUUAGCUUGAGAAAUUUUAAGAACUCCAAAAGAUUUUUGAGUUAUCAUUGCCAUGACUAUUUCUUCAGAGCCUUUUGUAUGUGAAUCAUUGCACAGAUUACUUUACAUUUAUUUUUCUAUUUAUUGAUCUCAAUAAACUUGCAAAAGAGGUACUACAUUCCCCAUGCCUCAGGGAUAGCAAGUGACAGACACCUAGAGCCACAGAGGCUCACAGAAGCCAAGUGAAAGAAAUGUCUGCUAAAGCCUGCCUCUGGAAUGAAGUUGCUAUGAACACCUGUGUGCAGGUUUUUGUGUACAUAUCAAUUUUCAGUUUCUUUGGGUAUAUACCACAGUAUUCAACUACUGUAUAAUAUGAUAAGAGCUUGAUUUUGCUAUGGUGUUUCAGUAUAUUCAUCAAGAGUUUAUUUGUUGGAAAUUUAAUUCCUCAGGCAACAGUGUUGGAAGGUGGGUCUAGAAGAAAGUAUUUGGGUCAUAGGGAUGGAGCCAUUGUGAAUGGAUUAGUAUGUUUCUCUUGUAGAUGAAAUUUCAUUCAAUCUCUGCCAAAGAAAAAAGUUUCCCUUUGAUGUUGUUCAUUAAAAUUAAGCAUGAGUUCCAUGUCUGUUAUAAGAAAUAAGUACAAGGAGUGUAAGGCUCUGAGCCUAAACUGGGGUAAAUUAGUUGUGUCCCUCUGGCUCUGUGGUGCACAACACUCAAGAGAAACAAGAAUGCACUUUCUGGAUGACACCUGCAGCAGCUGGUUCUGCCUGCUCUCACCACGUCCCUGCCCUCAAGAAGGGUUCACAGUGGCCAUGUGCAUUUAGCUAAUCUCGGUGUUAUUUUCUCCCAUGCUCUGGACAGCUGACACCCUUGACAAUGAUAGCAGAAGUAGGUUCCCAAACAGUGCUGUCUAUGGUCCUCUCAAAGAAUCUGGUAAAUGGAUGAAAGCCUUCCUUAUCAUUGCUUUUCCUCAGGCAAGUUAGACAGAGGUGUGUAUGCUGCUGAGCAAUCUCAGCCAGGGACAGAAAGUCUAGAGGAACCAAAUGGCCACAGGCUGAAAAGCAUCUCAAGUGGGCCCUGUGCUCCUGGGACCAGGAAGGACACAAGUUCAGGGGAGGUCAGGGAACAAAUUCCUCUGAGUCUGUGCAUGUGGGAGCCCCUCUACACCCACAUUUGGACAGCCAUGUGCAAAAAUCAAAAUAUCUUAGUGUAUGCACCACAUUACUGAAAUGAAUAAGACUGAAGGAUUUAAGAUCAAAAGAAUAGAUUUGAUUAGGGUGAGUGGCAUAAUGCUUGUUUUCUUUUAUUAAACUGUUUUAAUAAUUUUCUCUAAUUAAAAGUUGUAAAACAAAAAAGAUUGUCUUCUUGCACUGCUGGACAUUGGAAUGGGCUCUCAUAUAUGCUGUGCAAAUGCUCUACCACUAAAGCUACAUCCCCAGCCCACUGGCACUUUUUUAUUUAAGGCCAAUCUUUCAACUCUUCUGACUUUCCCAG